rnacentral:rRNA from 1 species
AACGAACGCUGGCGGCAUGCCUAACACAUGCAAGUCGAACGAGACCUUCGGGUCUAGUGGCGCACGGGUGCGUAACGCGUGGGAAUCUACCCUUGGGUUCGGAAUAACUCAGAGAAAUUUGAGCUAAUACCGGAUGAUGUCGAAAGACCAAAGAUUUAUCGCCCAAGGAUGAGCCCGCGUAGGAUUAGCUAGUUGGUGAGGUAAAGGCUCACCAAGGCAACGAUCCUUAGCUGGUCUGAGAGGAUGAUCAGCCACACUGGGACUGAGACACGGCCCAGACUCCUACGGGAGGCAGCAGUGGGGAAUAUUGGACAAUGGGCGAAAGCCUGAUCCAGCAAUGCCGCGUGAGUGAUGAAGGCCUUAGGGUUGUAAAGCUCUUUUACCCGGGAUGAUAAUGACAGUACCGGGAGAAUAAGACCCCGGCUAACUCCGUG